rnacentral:lncRNA from 1 species
GCUCCUACGCCUCGGGUGGAGCUGGCGGGAAGGCUGAAUUAUCUAAUAACAAAAGACAUACAAUUAAUAGACAUUCGAAAAUUCUUCCUAAACUUAGACCCUAAGGUCGACUGUCUAGAAUUUAAUUGGACUCGAGGAAUCUGCCGAAAGUUUGACAGAACCUCCCCUAAAUUUCGGAUAUUUACCCCCCGUAAAACGGGUCCAAGACCUGCCAAAAACAUAUCAAACAUGCUGGAAUUUAAUAACAGGAGCCGGGCCACAAGAACUGCAUUAAUAUUUUCCCGACUCCAAAACACCACAAUCCAAACAAUUUAAUUUGAUUUAUUUUUAGACUACCCAACACAAGCAAUUAAUAGCCACAAUAGCUUUCUAAUAUUAUAACAAAAUUUUCAGAGUCUAAAAUAAAAUUAUACCGAGUUAAAAAUUGAAAUAUUUCACGCAUCCGGAAAACACUGGGGUCCGGAAGCCGGUCCUGCCAACAGUGUCGAAAUUCGAAUCCGGAAGCGCCUACGCGAAGCUCAAGUUGCGAGGAGUCCAGAAGUACAAGAGUUUUGGCCGGAAAGUGGCCGGAAGGCGGCAGAUCGGG